rnacentral:rRNA from 1 species
GCCGUCCCGGCGACACCGUUGCUACUGAGGUACUCCUGUCAAAAGUCGUUCGCCACGAGAGGCUUACAACGCAACCUAAUCCCGCCACGCUCCGAUCGUUGAAAAAGCACACUUUGAGUAGUCGUUUUAGCUUCGACGGUACAGGAACUGCGACACCAGCUGACAAACCGCAACAACACCGGUCCAGCAGGCGCAAACGGGUAAACCCUAAACAUAGAUCCAAAAGUAAGCCAAAAGAAGAUUAAUUGGCCCGUUAAGAGAAGAAGAAUUAGUUAUUUUUCCCAUUUAGAAAACGGAGCAAUUUUUUUUGCUGACCUGUGAGACGAGAUGAGCACCUCGUACGCAGAGUCGGUCUGUCGGUGUGUGUGUGCCAGAUAAAAUGCACACCUCGCUCCCGUGAGAGGGACGCAUGCCCGGAACAGAAUAACUCCUAUAGAGCGGUGAGGUGAGCAUAGUCUUGUGCACGUGUGUGCGGCGUGUAUCUCACUAGAUCGGUCUCUCUCUACCGUCGGCCGCCGUACUCGUCCCUCCGCUCCACCUCGGACCGGCCGCGCUGCCGCGACCAGUGGCCGCCGUCGUUCCCCUAGCCGGUGCGCUAGCACCUCCUCGACCGCCCCGUGCCCCGCGCCCACGUGUGCACGCGGGCCUCGCGCCGCCUCGACCUCCUCACGGCGGCGGCCACCCUCAGGUCCCCGGAGGGCCAGUGGCAAAGGCAGACGCUGCAGAGGGACGCGCGGUCGUCCCUCGUCGAUCACCUCUGCCGGUUCGUUCAGAAGCUGCCGUUCGAGCUGUACGACCACUUGUUGCGCCGCGUCCGAGAACGGUUCCGCCGGCACCUCACGUGUAGUCUCCUUAUGUGCGUGGAGUACCGCUGGUUGGAUCUCAGCACGAAGGUGGAGUCGGUCGAGUGCGUGGGUAACGAGGAGUCCCGGAGGUAGCGGCCUCCUCCAUCGUAGCAGUUGUAUAGGAGGGAACCUCCGUGCGAACCCAAGGGGCCGGUGCGUGAAAUGCCAUAGUGUUUUCCUCCUUAGUUGGUCGAAUGUUCCUCGGAGCGAUGACUCACCCGGGUCUUGUUCUAAGCCCACUUAACACAGCGGGGCCCGCACUGGUUCUCACUGUACAAUUUGUCAGAGCGUGGCCUGUAAAAUCUCUUCCUCCACCGUUCCUAAGGCUACGCCGCCCGUCCGCUCGGUCUCCUGCACCGACGUCACCACAGCAAGGAGACGUACGGUCGUCGUAGGAAGCAGCGACCGGUCCAGUAGUGGCAGCUACCACCAGCUUGUUAAUCACGAAUCAAUUAAUUGCCAUGGAGUGGCUAUUUGAGCACACGUACAACUAGUUAAGCAUUUCAUCGUCUACCUAAACUUAAGAGAACACACUACUGGUACGUUCUAAAGGUCGGCGAUCGUUAACGGGUUAAGGUUUAUAGUUAAGUUGUCGAUACUGCCUCGGCUAUCGUAACUCUUUGCCAGAUUAGGAUCAUCCCGUUCACCCUACGUUGUUCGAAAACCAUGAGAUUGACAUACCUACAGUAACUGUGAUACUUCUUGAUACCCCUGAGUUAGCUACAACGACG